UACGUAGGUGACAAGCGUUGUCCGGAUUUACUGGGCGUAAAGAGCGCGCAGGCGGUCGUUCAAGUCGAGUGUGAAAGCCCCCGGCUCAACUGGGGAGGGUCAUUCGAUACUGAUCGACUCGAAGGCAGGAGAGGGUAGUGGAAUUCCCGGUGUAGUGGUGAAAUGCGUAGAGAUCGGGAGGAACACCCGUGGCGAAGGCGGCCAUCUGGACCAGCACUGACGCUGAGGCACGAAAGCGUGGGGAGCAAACAGG
rnacentral:rRNA from 1 species